GCAGUCGAACGGUGAACACGGAGCUUGCUCUGUGGGAUCAGUGGCGAACGGGUGAGUAACACGUGAGCAACCUGCCCCUGACUCUGGGAUAAGCGCUGGAAACGGCGUCUAAUACUGGAUAUGUGACGUGACCGCAUGGUCUGCGUCUGGAAAGAAUUUCGGUUGGGGAUGGGCUCGCGGCCUAUCAGCUUGUUGGUGAGGUAAUGGCUCACCAAGGCGUCGACGGGUAGCCGGCCUGAGAGGGUGACCGGCCACACUGGGACUGAGACACGGCCCAGACUCCUACGGGAGGCAGCAGUGGGGAAUAUUGCACAAUGGGCGCAAGCCUGAUGCAGCAACGCCGCGUGAGGGACGACGGCCUUCGGGUUGUAAACCUCUUUUAGCAGGGAAGAAGCGAAAGUGACGGUACCUGCAGAAAAAGCGCCGGCUAACUACGUGCCAGCAGCCGCGGUAAUACGUAGGGCGCAAGCGUUAUCCGGAAUUAUUGGGCGUAAAGAGCUCGUAGGCGGUUUGUCGCGUCUGCUGUGAAAUCCGGAGGCUCAACCUCCGGCCUGCAGUGGGUACGGGCAGACUAGAGUGCGGUAGGGGAGAUUGGAAUUCCUGGUGUAGCGGUGGAAUGCGCAGAUAUCAGGAGGAACACCGAUGGCGAAGGCAGAUCUCUGGGCCGUAACUGACGCUGAGGAGCGAAAGGGUGGGGAGCAAACAGGCUUAGAUACCCUGGUAGUCCACCCCGUAAACGUUGGGAACUAGUUGUGGGGUCCAUUCCACGGAUUCCGUGACGCAGCUAACGCAUUAAGUUCCCCGCCUGGGGAGUACGGCCGCAAGGCUAAAACUCAAAGGAAUUGACGGGGACCCGCACAAGCGGCGGAGCAUGCGGAUUAAUUCGAUGCAACGCGAAGAACCUUACCAAGGCUUGACAUAUACGAGAACGGGCCAGAAAUGGUCAACUCUUUGGACACUCGUAAACAGGUGGUGCAUGGUUGUCGUCAGCUCGU
rnacentral:rRNA from 1 species